rnacentral:lncRNA from 1 species
UAAGUUGUUAGGGUUCCGGCGCGGUGGCGCCGCCGCACCGGCCGGCCAGCCGCCGCCGGAACCCCCUCAUCUUUCCGUCGGAGCAAAGAAGAAAGAAUAGAGAGAGUUUGAGAGAUUUAGGGAAGAAGAGAGAGAAAAGGAAAAGAAAAAUGAGGAAAUUAGGGUUCACACCCUUUAUAUACCUCUCAAAUCCGGGUCGACCCGCCAGGCUUAACCCAUGACCCGCUCCGUUUCUAUCUAGGCCCAAACCUUUUUUUUACUUUCUGCACACCCCAUAAUACUGCUACACCUCCCACCUUGUGAUUGAACCUUUUAUUUAUUUCUUUCAAGUCUUGCAUACAUUUUAUUUAUCGUUUAGCAUUGUAAUUAUUAAUUUAUGUUCUCUCAUGCAUGUUAGAAUGUAAAUUAGGCCUUGAUGUAAAUAAUUUAUUUACUUUUUCUUGUCAUUUAUUUUUUUGCAGACCUUAGAAUGUAAAUAGGUUUUUUUGUAAUAGUUUAGGUGCAUGUGUGCG